rnacentral:rRNA from 1 species
AACGAACGCUGGCGGCAGGCUUAACACAUGCAAGUCGAGCGAGACCUUCGGGUCUAGCGGCGGACGGGUGAGUAACGCGUGGGAACGUGCCCUUCUCUACGGAAUAGCCCCGGGAAACUGGGAGUAAUACCGUAUACGCCCUUUGGGGGAAAGAUUUAUCGGAGAAGGAUCGGCCCGCGUUGGGUUAGGUAGUUGGUGGGGUAAUGGCCCACCAAGCCGACGAUCCAUAGCUGGUUUGAGAGGAUGAUCAGCCACACUGGGACUGAGACACGGCCCAGACUCCUACGGGAAGCAGCAGUGGGGAAUCUUAGACAAUGGGGGCAACCCUGAUCUAGCCAUGCCGCGUGAGUGAUGAAGGCCUUAGGGUUGUAAAGCUCUUUCAGCUGGGAAGAUAAUGACGGUACCAGCAGAAGAAGCCCCGGCUAACUCCGUG